rnacentral:rRNA from 1 species
GAAAACCGUUGGAAACUACGGCUAGUACCGGAUGUGGCGUCGGACGACAUCCCUCUGAACGCUAAAGGGGGCCGCAAGGCUCCCGCUCAUCGAGGGGUUCGCGCACCAUCACCUUGUUGGCGGGGUAACGGCCAACCCAGGCCUACGGUUAGUUGGUCUGAGAGGAUGACCAGCCCCACUGGGACUGAUAUACUGCCCAGACUCCUACGGGAGGCUGCAGUCGAGGAUCAUCUGCAAUGGGCGAAAGCCUGACAAUGCGACGCUGCGUGGAGGAUGAAGGCCUUCGGGUUGUAAACUCCUGUCAUAGGGGAACAGGCGAGGGGUGCUAAUACCACCCUUAGUUGAGUGUACCCUAAGAGGAAUUGGCGGCUAACUCUGUGCCAACAGCCGCGGUAAUACAGAGGCCAAGAGCGUUGUUCGGAUUUACUGGGCGUAAAGGGCGCGUAGGCGGUCUUGCGUGUCAAGUGUGAGAUCUCCGGGCCCAACCCGGAAAGUGCGCUUGAAACUACAGGGAUUCGAUUCCGGGAAGAGGGAAUUGGGAAUUCUGGGUGUAUGCGGUUAAAUGCGUUGAUAUCAUGCAGAACACCGGAAGUGAAGGGGGAUUCCUUGAACGGUACUGACGUUGAGGCGCGAAAGUCGGGGGUGCAAACGGGAUUUGAUUCCGUGGUAGUCCCGACCUUCAAUCGGUGCACACUAGGGGUGGGGGCCAUUUCACCGGCCCCGUCCCUUAGCUAACGUGUUAAGUGUGCCGCCUGGGGAGUACGGCCGCAAGGCUAAAACUCAAAGAAAUUGACGGGGGCCCGCACAAGCAGAGGAGCAUGUGGUUUAAUUCGAUGGAACGAGAAGAACGUUACCUGGAUUUGACAUCGUGGGCAAUUCCCUAUGAAAGCAGGGCGGAGGUUAUCCCAUAGACAGGUGCUGCAUGGCUGUCGUCAGUUCGUACAGUGAGGUGUUGGGUUUAUUUCUCCUAGGAACGCAACCCAUUUGGUAUGUUGCAUGUCAGGUCAAGCUGGGAACUAGUACCAUAGUGCCUGUUUUCUCAGGAGGAAGGUGGGGAGGAGGUCAAGUCAGUAUG